rnacentral:lncRNA from 1 species
GUAGAAUGGGUCAUGAAGGAAAUUACCUCUACUAAUAAAUUACUACUAGAUUAUAGUGAUAAGGAAAACAGCAUACAAAUUUGGCUCGUGUAUUCAUUUGCCUAUAACUAAUCAUAAUUCCAUUUUCUUUUACAUAAAGAGAAUACUUCAAAAUGAGAAGAUCCUGCCAUGGAAAAGACGACUGGGCGGACAUAAAGUGGAAAGGAGGGGAAAUAAUUCACACCAUGCAGCAGGACACCUUCAGCUGCGGGGUUUUUGUAAUGCAGGUUUGAUAGUUAUAUUUUAAAUAAUUAAGCUGUUAUGUGACAAUUAGGUUAAACUAUUUUAUUUCUUGGUGUAGAUGGCCAAGGAAGUUGCACAGAACUUCCCCAACAUCCCCUCCCAAAUUGAUAUGGAACUUUCAAAAACACAUGGAGCAACUGCGAAAAGAAAUGGCUGAGGAUAUGCUAAAAAUGUCUGAGUUCAACAAAGCCAACUGCUUCAUGUGUGCCACUGAUAAAGAACCUGGAUGUGGCCCAAAGACUGACUGGGGCUAGGAACCCUCCAUGUUCAGGACCCUACCCAGGGCUGGCAUCUCUCAGCCUGUGGAUCUUCUCUUCUAUCCUGGCUGUAUGCUGGCUCUUCUCCUGCACCUCCUUCUCCACCUCCCUCCGAUUCCUGACCUCGUCUGACAGAUGAAUUACCUUUAAUACAAAGAAACACAGAAAAGUAUGUGAGGUGACCAAGGUUACUUCAGCUCCUCAUUUUCACUUUGUUUCAUUAGUUUUAUUUUAGUUUGACAGGUUUUAUAUUUACUUAUAUAUGUGUGUUGUGCUCUGUUGGUUCUGGUAUCAGUUAUAGUUUUAACAGUAUUCUAACCUGAAGUUUCACGUUUUUACUUUCUAUUGUUUCUUUUUCAUUUCGUUUUAGUUUCAAUGUUAGUCAAGCUUCAUUGUUCAAAGGCAGAGGGAUAGAUGACACUGUUAUAGUUAGAUCACUUUUAUACUGUAGUUAGGUUCAGAGAGAGGGAUAG